GGUCCAAUGGUGUAGUGGAAACACACUUGCUUGAAAUAAGUGCUGAUUAAAAUGCGUUACGCAAGAGAUCCUUGUUCAACUCAGGGUUGGGUCU